rnacentral:rRNA from 1 species
AUUGAACGCUGGCGGCAUGCUUUACACAUGCAAGUCGAACGGUAGAGGGGGCAACCCCUUGAGAGUGGCGAACGGGUGAGUAAUGCAUCGGAACGUGCCCAGUCGUGGGGGAUAACGCAGCGAAAGCUGUGCUAAUACCGCAUACGAUCUCUGGAUGAAAGCGGGGGACCGAAAGGCCUCGCGCGAUUGGAGCGGCCGAUGUCAGAUUAGGUAGUUGGUGGGGUAAAGGCCUACCAAGCCAACGAUCUGUAGCUGGUCUGAGAAGACGACCAGCCACACGGGGACUGAGACACGGCCCAGACUCCUACGGGAGGAAGCAGUGGGGAAUUUUGGACAAUGGGCGCAGGCCUGAUCCAGCAAUGCCGCGUGCAGGAAGAAGGCCUUCGGGUUGUAAACUGCUUUUGUACGGAACGAAACGGUCUGGGUUAAUACCCUGGGCUAAUGACGGUACCGUAAGAAUAAGCACCGGCUAACUACGUGCCAGCCGCCGCGGUAA